AAGACAGGAGAGAGCAGCCUGUUCCUACCUGUCUCUACCCCCUCUGAGCACCAACUUGUCAUCUUUACCAGCGGUAACACCUGCCUGGGAAGAGAGCGGAUAAAAGGAUUACUGACCCGUUGCACAGGAAACAAAUUCCUCGGCCUGUUGUCCCGGGACUGGAUGCAGCUUCUUCCCCAGACAGCGCUGACUGCAGACAGUGCAAGGUUGUCCACGUGAAACCCAAGGAGCCAGAGGGGCCAGAGUUCAGCGUGCAGCCAAGCUGGUGCUGGGGGAGGGACGUGGCUGGUGACUAUGGGGACAAGCCUCAAGAGGAAGUUUGUCAAGGAAAUGAAUUUAAGUCAGUCUGGAACUUGGACCCAUCCAAAGACCUUCUCAUUUUGCAGCUGAAAAGAGGACCUGGUGGUGGGAACUGGACCCACCAUCUUUGAUCAAGAGAUGGAAGCCAGGAUGGACUGAGGACGACAAAACAAGGCAGGAGCUGGGACCUCACCACAAUAUGUACCUGACAUGCCAGCCGUGGACUGCUUAGAGAGGAACCUGCCCGCUGCCCACCAAGUACCUGGCUGGGAUCAGGUCUUAAGGUGAGCCAGCUACAGCUGUGGAGAAGACUCUCAGGAAGAGUCAGAGAGAACUGGUCUGACCGCAGCUUAUGAUUCUACAUUUUAAAAUGGAUUGUAUUGCUUUAAGGUCCGAAUUGAACUAGAUUUGGCCCUAGAGUGGGGAUUCCCUGUCACUCUGCAGACAGGCAGGUGGACUUGCAAACCGGCCCUUCCUUAGCUGGGCCUGAGCUUUCACAGGGGGAAACAUUGUUAUGUUAGUCUCAGAAAAAGCUGUUUGGGCUAGAAACCCAUGAAGGCGUCCUUGAUUCCAGUUCCCUAACCCUCCCCCUCCCCUGGAUUUGAAGCAUUGCAAAAUCUGCUAAGUCUGUCUCCAGAACAUAUCCUGAGUACAUCCACUUCUUCCCGUCUCCACUGCCACUACCCUGGUCUUUCUCACUCUUUUUAAGACAUGGGGUCUUGCUCUGUCACCCAGGCUGGAGGGCAGUGG